CCAGGCUUUGGUAACAGGAUGAUGCUGGCCUCAUAAAAUGAGUUAGGGAGGAUUCCCUCUUUUUCUACUGAUUGGAAUAGUUUCAGAAGGAAUGGUACCAGUUCCUCCUUGUACCUCUGGUAGAAUUCGGCUGUGAAUCCAUCUGGUCCUUGACUUUUUUUGAUUGAAAUUAGUUGAUAACGUCUUCCAGGAGACCUACGGCCAUCCUACUGAUAUGAACCAGAUCAUACCUGCCCUGAUGGGAUGCCAGAGAAAGACUGCUGCAAGGGAUCCUCUGGAAACAGAACAGAGGGAAGAAGAUACCUUCCCUGAAGCCCAGAUGUUCCAGAAGCCUGCGCCUCAUUCACAAAGUCACCCCAAAAAUGCCCUAGAGUUUGGAGUUUUGAAGAAGCGGGAAGAAGGCCUGAGUAAGGGCCUGGGAACCAAGUUAGAUCCUACUUCAGCAUCAGCACAUGCCAGCGAUGGUGCACACAGGUGGAGAGCGGCCUGCCCGUCUUUUCCAUGGUGCCCACAGACCCAUUUAGGAUGAAAGAUCAGAAAAUUCUCUCCAUGUCACCGCUUCUGAAACAUGUGAAUAUUAAUAUUUGGUGC
ensembl:lncRNA TNPO1-DT TNPO1 divergent transcript